ACUAAUACAAUGUAAGACUAUCGAUUACAGUUAAAAUAAACAAAAUUGAGUGUUUGAUGGAGUUGAUAGUGAGAUACUUGAAGAUCCAAAGCAGAAAUGCAGGAGAGAUACUGAGUUGUGAUCCACUGGAGGGCUGAUUGAAGAAUCUCUCUUUCUCCUUUCCUCUUUUUCCCAUGCUCUCUGUUCAGAGGAUUGGGUGAGAAAGGAAGGCAAUGACUUGCAGAGGGGCUGGCCUGGGAAACAGAAGUCAGCAGGCAUGGAAAUUGCCUGCUGGGGAAGUCAUUCUUUGUCAACUCACACUCACCAGUAAUUCCUGCCUCUAGCCCAUUUCUCUCUCAUUCAUUGACGUCUGCUCCCCAAGUCAUGUAACUGUAUGGAAGCAUAUAUGCAUUACCCCAGGAAAGGAUUAUAUACAUUUAUUAAAUGGAAACAGAGCUAAUUGUAGAAAACUUAACUUUAAAAAAAAUACAAAAUACUACUUAAGGUAAUGAGUGACAGAAGUGUAGCCUGCAAAUCUGUCAUUGAACCACUGCUAGAAGGAAGAGGAAUCCAGCUGCUGGCACCUCUGUGGUGCCAAAUUUGAGAAAACUUCAUUAAUUCAGCAAUAAUAAAUAUAUGACUAUGAAGUCAUUCUGAAGACUUGCAUAGGCCAAUAAAAAGGAAAUAUUUAAAAUUUUUUCACACUUAAACACAGAGACAUCUGUGAAGGCUCAGAAUUUCAGCCCACUCACCUUCUAGUCAGUCAUACUUCCCACCCUCCCU
rnacentral:lncRNA from 10 species